GCCUGAUUAGCAUAAAAGUAAUGUAGCUGUUUUGUAACCAGCUGAAGCAAGUGCGAUACUUGCAUUGGGCU
rfam:Sclerotinia sclerotiorum 1980 TF-70 mitochondrion, complete genome.